rnacentral:rRNA from 1 species
AGUGAACGCUGGCGGUAGGCCUAACACAUGCAAGUCGAACGGCAGCACAGUAAGAGCUUGCUCUUACGGGUGGCGAGUGGCGGACGGGUGAGGAAUACAUCGGAAUCUACUUUUUCGUGGGGGAUAACGUAGGGAAACUUACGCUAAUACCGCAUACGACCUACGGGUGAAAGCAGGGGAUCUUCGGACCUUGCGCGAUUGAAUGAGCCGAUGUCGGAUUAGCUAGUUGGCGGGGUAAAGGCCCACCAAGGCGACGAUCCGUAGCUGGUCUGAGAGGAUGGUAACCCCCCCGUGGACCUGAGCCCCGGCCCCGCCCCCCAGGGAGGGCCCAGGGGGGAAAGUUUGGCAAAUGGGCGCAACCCUGUCCCACCCCUCCCGGGUGGGUGAAGAAGCCCUUCGGGUUGUAAACCCUUUUUUUGGGGAAAAAAAACGAGCGGGUUAAUCCCCCGCUUUUCGGCCGGUACCCAAAAAAAAACCCCCGGUAACCUUCUU